AAUGCAUCUUGCGCUCCUUGGUAUUCCGAGGAGCAUGCCUGUUUGAGUGUCAUUCAAGCAUCUCAAAAGGUCCUUAUGCAGCAUGCAGGGAACUUUUGGACAUUGGGAGUUGCUGGUCACUGAUAAAGUGGCUGGCUCUUCUGAAAAGCAUUAGUUGAGGAGAUUUUUGUGCUCUAUUGGUGUGAUAGACUAUCUAUGCCAGGAGGAGCAUUGUGAAGCCUCUGCUGUCUAACAGUCGUAAUUGGACAAUAUGAUAAACUUGACCUCAAAUCAGGUAGGACUACCCGCUGAACUUAA
rnacentral:misc_RNA from 1 species